rnacentral:snRNA from 1 species
AUUUUUUAUGUAACAAGCAUCAAUAAAAAUCUGUUCUUAUCAGCUUAAUAUCUGAUACGGGCCUAAUUGGUCCAAGAUAUUAAACUUAUUUUUGCAAUUGGCGUCCCUACGAAGCUUGCUUCGAGGGCGCUAGGGUCGACCCGGUAUUGCACUACUUCCGGGAGUGGCCCGUCCCCC